CUGGGACCCAGCUCCAGGACGUCAGCCCGGACACAGGACUCUGGCACUUUCUUCUCUCCUGUUGGUUGUCACGGAAAUGUGGUCUCUUCGCAGCCAGAAAACCAGUGCCAUAAACAACUGGAGAGAUGGCCCUGCGUUUGCUGUCCAGAGGAAGAGUGAGCCAAGCUGCCAUGUCAUGCUUCUGCCCCAUGGAGAGGCCACUGAACAAGACAAGGAGGAGAGCCUCUGGCCAAUGGAGACAGAGACACAGAGACACAGAGAGAGAAGCACAGCCCAAGACCUCAAAGCGUGUGUGGAAAACUGGACCCUUCCGAUCAGUAUGCGGGAGAACCUGGCAGUGACUGUCUCUAGCAAGGCCCUGAAGCUCUCGCAGGGACUCAGAACCACAGCUCCAUGAGCCUCCUCACCCUUAACCCAUGGAAACUAGGGACAAUAACCACAUGUUUGGGGGUAGUCUGUUAUGCAAGAAUGGGUAACUAUUACUCAGUUGUGUUAGGCAGCUUCCUGGUGCAGUGAGAAAGGUUCAGAGGCUCUGGUCCAGGACCAGCCGGUCCAGCUACUCUGAGGCUGCGGUGAGGGAGUAUGUCAGGGCAGGAGCUCGUGGAGAUGCCAUGUGCCCGUCCCACAGUGGCCAGCAAGCAGGGGGAGGGACAUGAAGGGGCGGGGUCCCCAUCUCCCCUUCCAGGGUCUCCCCAGGACCAAUGUGCCUUUCACCAGGUCCACCCCAUAGAGGCUGUAACCCAGAGCCACACAGGCGAGCAGCCAACCUUCCUGAGUGAGCCUUUGGACACUAAGCCCCAAACAGCAGCCACCCAGGGACUCACAUGGAACCGUUUUUGCUCUGCCCUGUGCUAUUUGGUGGCAUUCCAGUUUCCAUUGUUUUGUUUUUAUUACACUUCUUUCUGUUUGCUGGCUGGUUUUCAGUAUUUUCAGUGGGUUACACAAAUGUCCUUCAAACCAAAAUGCUCAUAGCAAGACCCAUUCUCGCCCGCUCACUGAGAAGCAUGGGGACCACUCACUGGGAAGCACGGGGAGCACUCACUGGCCUCUCCUGCUGUGAGGGACUUUGGUGGGUUAGGUGGCUGGUCUCACCCCUCUUUAGAAACCAUCUGUGACUCUUCUUUCAGGAGAACACAUCUCUUCCUCCUCAGAGUUCACUGACUGCCCCUUUGAACCUUCUUCUCUGCAAGUGCACAUCUCCCGACAUCUGGAAGGAGGAAUCCUUGUACUUCACACUUGUCAGAGCCAUAGUCAGUGGUGCAGUGUCUACACAGCACUUCUGGAGCAUGGAGCUUGCCUGUUGAUUUUCACUUUUGCUCAUAUUACUUGUGCUUUUGGGUUUUUUUUUUGUUGUUGUUGUUUUUGUUUUUGUUUUUGUUUUUUUUUUAAACACAGGAAUCUUGGUUCACCACAGUCACUUCCUGAGUCUGGGAAGCAAAGAAGAAUCUAGCAGAAUCAGGAAAGUGUCCUACAGCAUCCAGCAACCCCAGAGAACCUAGAACAUCCAUCAUGGGAGACAGACCCUUCCAAGGAGCCCAUGUCCAGGGCUGCUGUGCUCUGGGGACAGGUAGGAGCAGGACCAGCCCACGGGGACCCCAGGCUGGGUGGCAAGGUGGUCAGCACAUGGAAGUAACCCAAGCAUUCUGUGGUUCACGGAAGUUCAGAACCACAUCAUGGCCAGGGGUAGGGCACACACCUCCGAUCCCAGCAUUUUGGAAGGCUGAGGCAGGAGGAUAACAAAUUUGAGUCCAGUUUGGACAAUUUAGUUACUUAGUUACUUUAGUUACUUAGCAAGGCCCUAUCUCAAAAUAAAAUAAAAUUUAAAAAGAGGUAGGGAUUUGGUGCAGUGAGAAGGUCCUCACUCAAGCCACAUUGCUGCAAUAAUUUAACCUAUUUAUUAAAUAAACAAAACCUAAACAAAAUGAAGACAAUCACAGAAAAAACAAACCAUGGCAUGCAGACAACAGACAAGACUGUGGGUUGCCAGCCAAGUAACCAAGUCAUAUUCUAGGUAGCUGGAAGUGCUCAAAAGGUGCUGUUGAUUAUCAGCCUGUGUAGUAACAGCUAAAAGAGCUGAAAGAUCAGGCAUAAAAGCAUGUGGAGCUUUCUCUUAAGGUGCAGCCCCCAAGGAAGGAGUAGGAGAUGGCACAAAGUGAUGGUGGCUUUGCCAUCCUUAGCAAGUGCUGAGCCAAGGGCAUAACAUGAAUUUAACUGGAAUGGCCAUCCUGGAAGGUUGCGUUUGUUGACUUUUCUUUUGCUGGAAACAGAACCCAGCUCAAAACUUAGAGGACAUAGAAUUUAACUGACUCACAUUUUCGGGGGAUUCAGUCCAUGGUUGGCUUCUCCAAGACAGCAGCAUCAUGGCAGAAGAGUUUGGUGCAGCAGGGAUGUAUACCUAAUGUUACCUAGGAGCAGAGCAAAGAACAAGUGCCAGAAACGAGUGGACAAGAUACCUUCUGCAGCCCCUCAGGUAAUGCUUCUACGACCCACCCAACAUACUCAGGAGUCCCCUCUGUCCUCGGUGAGGCUGUUUGGAAAGCAGUGAAGUUGACAUGUCGGGUGUGUAGGUCACACAGGCUCCCUCCGACCCUGAAGAAGCAACAGGUCUUGUGUAGACUGAAGCGCUGCUGUGAGGUGGCCUCUUCAGCAGUUUAAGAUUUAAUGAGCAUCAGAGAAUCCAUAGGCCCAGCAUGCUUUCUCCUGGCUCUUAACCUUGCCCCACACUCGGUGUGAUGCUUAGGAGAAAUUCCAAAAAGAAGCACUGUGACGGGACCUGGACAGGGACCUUUCCUUUGUCAUCACUGAAGAGCAGGAGAUAACAAAACUCAUUGAUUGGAUAUUGUCCUUGCAUUCGGGCACAAGAGCUCCCUUCCGGGUGUCCGGGAUAGGAGAACUGAGUUCAGUCUUAAAGGAUGCUAUGCGUGUAGCUCAUCCUCAAAAAGAAAACGGGCACCAACAGAGGGGCCUGGCACUAGAAACCUUGUUCUAACCAACAAAUACUCACUUUUCUAAGGGGAAAUGCCCCGCCACAUCCACGAGUUCAAAAUAUAUUUGUAUCUUACUUUUCUUCACCUACAUUUUAAAAAUAACAAAAUAAAAUAGAUGAUAACCAA